rnacentral:rRNA from 1 species
ACUCCUACGGGAGGCAGCAGUAGGGAAUCUUCCGCAAUGGACGAAAGUCUGACGGAGCAACGCCGCGUGAGUGAUGAAGGUUUUCGGAUCGUAAAGCUCUGUUGUUAGGGAAGAACAAGUGCGAGAGUAACUGCUCGCACCUUGACGGUACCUAACCAGAAAGCCACGGCUAACUACGUGCCAGCAGCCGCGGUAAUACGUAGGUGGCAAGCGUUGUCCGGAAUUAUUGGGCGUAAAGGGCUCGCAGGCGGUUUCUUAAGUCUGAUGUGAAAGCCCCCGGCUCAACCGGGGAGGGUCAUUGGAAACUGGGAAACUUGAGUGCAGAAGAGGAGAGUGGAAUUCCACGUGUAGCGGUGAAAUGCGUAGAGAUGUGGAGGAACACCAGUGGCGAAGGCGACUCUCUGGUCUGUAACUGACGCUGAGGAGCGAAAGCGUGGGGAGCGAACAGGAUUAGAUACCCUGGUAGUCCACGCCGUAAACGAUGAGUGCUAAGUGUUAGGGGGUUUCCGCCCCUUAGUGCUGCAGCUAACGCAUUAAGCACUCCGCCU